AACCAGGUGUACAGUUGUGAUCCUAUCAACAGUUCAUUUAUCUUUGUUACUGGCUGUUGUUUGCAUUCGAGUAUUUCCUCUGACUAUGAGAAAGUGCGGAUAAACAAAACUGUUUCGUGAAGGUGGAUAUUUAGUUGCUUCUUGUAUCAAGUUAUUAGCUUCUCACGACACUUUGAAAACAUUCUAAUUAUUAUUCUGUCAGAUGGAACAAAUACAAGUACUGCCAUUACGAGCAGCACAACUACAACAGAAACGCCAUCAACAUCUAAAAUUACAAUCAACACUGAUGGAACAAACACAAGUACAAGUACAAGUACAAGUACUGAAACUACAACAGAAACGCCAUUAACAUCUACAAUUACAAUCAACACUGAAACCUGUUGUACAGUUGCAAUCCCCUUAACAGUUAAUUUAGCUUUGCUACUGGCUGUCAUUUGCAUCAGAAUAUUUCUUCUGAUUAUGGGGAAGUGCGGAUAAAGAAAAAAGUUUCGUGAAGGAGGAUAUGUAGUGGUUCACGUGUUCUCACAUUUGUUGUCAUGUAUUCAGUAAGACAUGAAACAAUGCUGUUCUGAUUUGCUUGGGCAUUGUGUUAUGCCAUAUUAAUUUCGAUAAACAUUCAUAUGCUGUCUUGAUAUGUACAUAUACGUGUAUAGUUGUAAAAAAUAUUUGUCUCAUUUAUCGGGCUUGCAUGACUUACAUGAAAGCAUAUUUCCGUUUGAUUCGUUUCCAAUAACCGAUGGCAGUAAUGAACGAUUGAGGUCGAAAUUAUCAGUAAACCUUUCUUGUCACUGCUAACUAAUUUUAGAGAAGUACCCCUGUUCAGUAAAACUUCAGUAUCAGAUAAUAUGGAAAUAUACAUGCAGAUAAAGGAAUUGGAUCCAAAAGACAUUAAUAAGCACCAGGUCUUGUAAAUGUACAUACUAUUAUUAUCCAUGAAAGCAGACGAAACAAGUAUCUGGCGCCUACAUAUAACGAAGUUCAAUUUAUCGCCUUUAAAUCCAUGGAAUGCUUUUCAGAAUAUCAUAUACAAAUAAACGCAUUUUUGGCUCAACAAUAACCAUCGUGUUUGGUGAGUAUGUGGGUUUGGCUUCUCAUAUAACACACAGUGCCUCACGGUUUUGUUUGAUAAUUACUUCUAACCUUGUUGUGCACCCACAA